CCUACGGGGGUCAGCAGUGGGGAAUAUUGGACAAUGGGCGAAAGCCUGAUCCAGCCAUGCCGCGUGUGUGAAGAAGGCCUUCGGGUUGUAAAGCACUUUCAGUGGGGAAGAAAGCCUUGGGGCUAAUACCCUCGAGGAAGGACAUCACCCACAGAAGAAGCACCGGCUAACUCCGUGCCAGCAGCCGCGGUAAUACGGAGGGUGCGAGCGUUAAUCGGAAUUACUGGGCGUAAAGCGCGCGUAGGCGGUCUGAUAAGCCGGUUGUGAAAGCCCCGGGCUCAACCUGGGAACGGCAUCCGGAACUGUCAGGCUAGAGUGCAGGAGAGGAAGGUAGAAUUCCCGGUGUAGCGGUGAAAUGCGUAGAGAUCGGGAGGAAUACCAGUGGCGAAGGCGGCCUUCUGGACUGACACUGACGCUGAGGUGCGAAAGCGUGGGUAGCAAACAGGAUUAGAUACCCUUGUAGUC
rnacentral:rRNA from 1 species